rnacentral:rRNA from 1 species
GACGAACGCUGGCGGCGUGCCUAAUACAUGCAAGUCGAGCGAACAGAGAAGGAGCUUGCUCCUUCGACGUUAGCGGCGGACGGGUGAGUAACACGUGGGCAACCUACCUUAUAGUUUGGGAUAACUCCGGGAAACCGGGGCUAAUACCGAAUAAUCUGUUUCACCUCAUGGUGAAACACUGAAAGACGGUUUCGGCUGUCGCUAUAGGAUGGGCCCGCGGCGCAUUAGCUAGUUGGUGAGGUAACGGCUCACCAAGGCGACGAUGCGUAGCCGACCUGAGAGGGUGAUCGGCCACACUGGGACUGAGACACGGCCCAGACUCCUACGGGAGGCAGCAGUAGGGAAUCUUCCACAAUGGGCGAAAGCCUGAUGGAGCAACGCCGCGUGAGUGAAGAAGGAUUUCGGUUCGUAAAACUCUGUUGUAAGGGAAGAACAAGUACAGUAGUAACUGGCUGUACCUGGACGGUACCUUAUUAGAAAGCCACGGCUAACUACGUGCCAGCAGCCGCCGUAAUAC